UAGUGGCGAACGGGUGAGUAACGCGUGGGUGACCUACCCCAAAGUGUGGAAUAACAGUCCGAAAGGAUUGCUAAUGCCGCAUGUGGUCUGCGAGUUUAGAAAUCGUUGACUAAAGGAGCAAUCCGCUUUGGGAGGGACCUGCGUCCCAUCAGCUAGUUGGCGAGGUAACGGCUCACCAAGGCGACGACGGGUAGGGGACCUGAGAGGGUGGCCCCCCACAAUGGAACUGAAACACGGUCCAUACACCUACGGGUGGCAGCAGUAGGGAAUAUUGCACAAUGGGCGAAAGCCUGAUGCAUUAUCUUUGCGUGCGCGAUGAAGGUCUUCGGAUCGUAAAGCGCUUUUCUGGGAGAUGAGAAAGGACAGUAUCCCAGGAAUAAGUCUCGGCUAACUACGUGCCAGCAGCCGCGGUAA
rnacentral:rRNA from 1 species